rnacentral:rRNA from 1 species
AACGAACGCUGGCGGCAGGCCUAACACAUGCAAGUCGAGCGCCCGGAUUUAUCCGGGAGCGGCGCACGGGUGAGUAACGCGUGGGAACAUGCCCUGAAGUACGGAACAACCUGGGGAAACCUUGGCUAAUACCGUAUACGCCCUGAGGGGGAAAGAUUUAUCGCUUUGGGAUUGGCCCGCGUUGGAUUAGCAGGUUGGUGUGGUAACGGCGCACCAAGGCGACGAUCCAUAACUGGUCUGAGAGGAUGACCAGUCACACUGGGACUGAGACACGGCCCAGACUCCUACGGGAGGCAGCAGUGGGGAAUAUUGGACAAUGGGCGAAAGCCUGAUCCAGCCACGCCGCGUGAGUGAAGAAGGCCUUCGGGUUGUAAAGCUCUUCCAGCGGGGACGAUGAUGACGGUACCCGCAGAAGAAGCCCCGGCUAACUUCGUGCCAGCCGCCGCCGUAA